GUAGGGAAAGGUUCCAUCUUUAAAACAUUAGGGUUUUUUGUUUGUUUUUGAAGUGGUCUCAAGCACAUCAGUCUGGUUUCCAACUUCCGAUGAAGAAGAGAGUGAUUUAGAACUUCUUCAUCUCCUACCUCCCAAAGAGGCACAGGCAUUUACAAACACACACUUAUGUAAUGCUGAUGACCAAACUCAGGGCUUUGAACAUAUUAGGCAAGCAUUCUCCCAACUGAGCUGUAUCCCCAGCCUGAAAAGCACUUUUCUUAAACUUCAUUGUGUACCUGAAUCCCCAGAGAGACUUGUUAGCACAGAGGCUGCCUAACUAACCCCCAAGAUUUCUGAUCUAGUAGGUCUGGGUAGAACUUGAGAGUUUUUGUAGCAGAUUACAGCUGCUGUGGUAAGAUUACAGUUUGAGACUCACUGCCUUAAAAUCUUCCUUGCAACUAGGGGAAUGAGUAUUUCUGGUCUGGGAGUAUGUUCUGUUAUUGGGAGUAUGAUUUAACUCCUACUCUUGAUACCCUGACACCCAUAGUCUCUCAUUUAUAUCCAGAUGUUUAUCAAAGCUCAGACCACCCAAACCCCACUCCUCAGUCUUUCCUCCCUGUUUGUCUCACAGCCCCUUGGUUCUGGCUGCCCUCUGAGGUCCUGCCCAUGCUCCCUGGCUUAUUCUCCUCUGCUUUUCAUUCACAUAUUUCUCAUCAGCCCAGUCAUUCUCCAGAACUGCCCGUUCUGCGUGUUGUUCUUUGAUCCUUCUCACAGUCCUGAUGCUCUCGACAACUCCCAAAUACCCUUGCCAACCAGGGCUAAGUAGGCUUUGUCCAGGAACUCCUGCUCCAAGCUGGUAUGACAUUUACAUUCAGACCCUCACUUGGAAGGCUACCCUCUCUAGUAUCUGGCCAGCUCCAAGCUGUUGGGGAAUCAAGGGAAUCUCUCUCUCUCCCUCUCCCCAAAAAUUUUUGGUACACCAGUCACAACUUUUUUUCACAACUUCAUUUGCUCUUGAAGAAACAUCACAAUUCCUAACUGCCUAACAAUCUGGUCUCAGCCUCUCCCACACCCCUGUAACUCACCUUGCCAUUUCCUGCUGCUGUUAGCUUCUGAUGGAGUCUUACGUUUAUAGUCCCCGUGAGCCUCAGAAAGGCAAGUUUUGUGCAGUUCCAAGCUUCUCCUACUUGAACGAAUCGGGAGCGGAUGCAUUUUUUUUCUAUAAAGGCAGGACAGAGAGAUUUCUCAUUAUUCCAGGGAAACAUCCCCUCACGAAUACAAGAGUACAUUUGCAAACCAGCCUUUCAAAGAGCUAUUUCAAAAGCAAUAAGCAAGUGGUUCUAUGGUGAGGAUUACAAACACACCCUCAGGGUAAGUCAAGGGUGAAGAGGACAGUUCUAAUAUGACACAUUGGUCCAGACUCCGUGGAAGAGUGUCAGUCAGACACCUUUAAAGUACUGUAUCUCAAACAACUUAGAUGCAAGCAAAGGAGAUCUACUUAAACUAGGUGUAGACAUCAUGAAGGUGUUGAUUCAAAAGAUGCUUGUGGGGAAUUUGAAGCUAAUUGUUACUUAAUGUGAGAAUGGGGGAAAAGCAAUAUUUUGUAUUAUUGUAACAUAUAUAUAUAUGUAUAUCAUUAUUUUAAAAUAAGCAUGUAUAAUUAAAUAAAUUAGAUAUUAUAAAUAGACAUCUGGCUAUUUGAUUUCUAUUUCUGGAAGUUUAAGUAUUCACAAUUGAUACUUAUUUUUACUUUUAAAAGUUUUCCCAAACUGACCAAAGAUCUUAUUUAAGUUGUAGCAUUCAUUUUUAUUAUAACAUUAAGUGAGUAGUCUGGGGUGUGGUGGCACAUGCCUUGAAUCGCAGUACUCAGGAGGCAGAGGCAGGCAGAUCUCUAUGAGUUUGAGGCCAGCCUGGUCUACAGAGUGAGUUCCAGAACAGGCCAGAACUACAUAACGAGACCCUGUCUUGGUUUUUUUUUUUUUUUUUUAAAUGAGCUCUAGAAAAAGCUAAAUUAUCAAUGUGUAAAAUCUGAUGUUAUAAUGUAUGCACCUAGCUUAUUAUUUAAUGUGUAUCUUACAUGUAUUCUGUUAUUGUUAUGGUAUAUUUUGCUAGACUGAUUACAGGUUUUGGUGGAAUCACUCAGAUGUAUGUACAAGAAGGAAC
rnacentral:lncRNA from 1 species